rnacentral:tRNA from 1 species
GUUCCUGUAGUAAAAUGACAACGGUGGUUCUUCAAAUCAUUGGUCUCAGUUAAAGUCUGAGCAGGAAUU